rnacentral:rRNA from 1 species
UACGUAGGGUGCGAGCGUUGUCCGGAAUUAUUGGGCGUAAAGAGCUCGUAGGCGGCCUGUUGCGUCCGCUGUGAAAGCCCGGGGCUUAACCCCGGGUCUGCAGUGGAUACGGGCAGGCUAGAGGUAGGUAGGGGAGAAUGGAAUUCCCGGUGUAGCGGUGAAAUGCGCAGAUAUCGGGAGGAACACCGGUGGCGAAGGCGGUUCUCUGGGCAGUAACUGACGCUGAGGAGCGAAAGCGUGGGGAGCGAACAGG